UCCAAGCCCAGUGGGUGGGCGCCCAUUAGAGAGGCGAGAGUACCCAGGUGUUAGGGGUUUUCCAUUGAGGAGGACCCCCCCCUCCCCCGUGCAGGGGUGAGGAGGGCAGAGCAGGUUGAAAACAGUUCACAGGUUUUCCCGGUUGGUGACCCAUCCCUUCAGCACCGUCCGGGGAAUCGAAAUCUUGUGAAGAGUAAUGUUUUUUGACGUUUGGGACUUGUCGGCGCUGGCUCACAUUAGAGCGACACUGGCCCGUAGAAACGGAACACACGGCUCCUGUGUAAUUCGAGAUUUCCUUGUAGCCACAGGGCAAACACGCAGACACAGGUGGGGGUCAGCCUAACUAUAUUUUGCUGACCCCAGCGUUCCCAAAUUCUAACCCUUUCAGUAUGUAAUCGCUGUAAAAAUUAGGAAUGGGAUCUUCUACGUUCUUUUCCUCCCGAGUCUUCCAUAUGUGUCGUGUGUUUGACAGCGUGCGUCUGUCUGGGCUCACGCAUCAGGUGUGAGGAGCCCCGUGGCCCGCCUGGUGGUAGAGUCACCUGGGGGGUGUCUUUAACGUGUCCGAGUGAAGGUGCUGAAGAUUAGGCGUGAUUGUGCCCAGAUAAACCCCAGGCAGUGGUUUUUUGUUUGUUUUGUUGUUUGAGUCCCCUAACCAAGGAAUCUCCUUGAAGGCACCCCACAGAACACAAACGUGUGUUUGGGACCUUGAGUUUGGGUUUGAGAACCAUUCCCCCAAAUGCAGUAUUCCUUCCGACUCCCAUAUGUGACGUGCUGGCCCUUCUACCCCGACUUCCCGUCCCGCGGGUGCCCGUCACCCCGUCCACAGAGUCUCUGACCAGACUUACCUACGCCCGCCUCUGUGUCUUCAUUAUUCCCUAUAAACGCCGUGGUGUUCUAACACUCCCCAAGUCACCGACCCCUUUCUGGGCCUCCUGCAAAUGUUUACCAAAAAAAUUUCCCCUGGCCUCCGACUUUGGGAAGAGACUGAAACCAUGUGGUGGGCAGAGAGCACACCCCACCCCGCAACCCUAUUGGGUCCCCCCAUGGUCGUGUGGGAGGGCAUGAGGUCCCCACAUUCAGGCAGGGUACCUGGCACCUGGUACAGACCGGUUGGCUGAAGAACAGAGGUGAGCCAAGGCCCGAGUCAGCUGGGGUGGGUCCUGGGUGGUGAGCUGUGCCCUUUCCACCGUGGUCUCCGCCGUUUCCCACCAGGGCUCCAGACGCCCUCCACUUGGUGAUGCCCAAGCAGGCGGCUGACUUCCUAACUCCCCCAGCCACCAGAAUCCCCCAGAAUCUCCCUCUGCUCUCUGGGUGUCAGGUGACCGGUUCGCCCAGGUUGGGGUGGGGCCGGGGCUGCCAGUCCUGCCCUUCCCGUCGGUGGCGUGCGCUUGCCCCCACCCCCGGCCCGUUCCUGAGGACCGUUGGCUGCGUGGCUGGUCUGGUGCUUUGGGCUGUGCCAUAGGAAGCUCGCUGUGGAAACUCUGGAGUCCAGGCCUGCUGGCUGAGGCUCCGGGAAACCCAGUCUGCUAACCUGAGACACUUGGCCCAAAGAGUAGAGAUGCCUCUGCCAGCCGGGCCUCACUGUUGGCGGUGCCCUUCUCCUCCACUUGACUUCCAGGUGGACUCAGCAGGGGCUGGCGAGAUGGCAGCCGCUUUUGAGCGAGGUCUCUCUGUCGUUCACACAUCGCUUUGGAAACGCUACCCGUCGCUGUGCCUCGGCUCUUUGAAGGACAUUUUUGUCCCCGUUGGGUGCCUCUGUUAAGUGUCCUGAUAACGGCACAAGGAAGUUUAAGUCUGAUUCACUUCAGGAUUUUCAGAAUAAAAAAAUGUUUUAUAGUUGC